AGAGUUUGAUCCUGGCUCAGAACGAACGCUGGCGGCGUGGCUAAGACAUGCAAGUCGUACGAUACGUUGUAGCAAUAUGGCGUAUAGUGGCGGACGGGUGAGUAAUGAAUAGGUAACGUACCCCGGGCACAGGAAUAGCGUCGGAGCGAAAGCUCCUUUGCGAAAGUGACGGUAAUACCUGGUGAAGUCAUUGAGGGGCAUCUCUUGAUGACCAUAGGGUGGGGACCUUCGGGCCUAUCGGCCUGGGAGCGGCCUAUUUCCUAUCAGCUAGUUGGUGAGGUAACGGCUCACCAAGGCAACGACGGGUAACCGGACUGAGAGGUUGGCCGGUCACAUCGGGACUGAGACACUGCCCGGACAUCUACGGAUGGCUGCAGUAACGAAUAUUCCGCAAUGGGCGCAAGCCUGACGGAGCGACGCCGCGUGGAGGACGAAUUCCUUCGGGAUGUAAACUCCUUUUAGGGAUCUGAAAACAAGGCGCACUAAUACUGCGCCGCGUUGAUCUAUCCCAGAAAAAGCCUCGGCUAAACCCGUGCCAGCAGCCGCGGUAAUUCGGGUGAGGCAAGCGUUGUUCGGAAUCACUGGGCUUAAAGCGCGUGUAGGCGGCUCGGUAAGUACCUUGUGAAAUCCCUUCUCUCAAUGAAGGAACUGCUGGGUAUACUGCCAAGCUAGAGGCAGGUAGGGGUCACUGGAACUCUAGGUGGAGCGGUGAAAUGCGUAGAUAUCUAGAGGAACGCCCGUGGCGAAAGCGGGUGACUGGGCCUGUCCUGACGCUGAGACGCGAAAGCGUGGGUAGCAAACGGGAUUAGAUACCCUGGUAGUCC
rnacentral:rRNA from 1 species